rnacentral:rRNA from 1 species
AUUGAACGCUGGCGGCAGGCUUAACACAUGCAAGCCGAGCGGGAAUAGGUAGCUUGCUACUGAAUUCUAGCGGCGGACGGGCGAGUAAAGCUUAGGCAUCUGCCAUCUAGUGGGGGACAACAUUCAGAAAGGGAUGCUAAUACCGCAUACGUCCUACGGCAGAAAGCAGGUGACCACUUGUGACAUUGCGCUAAAUGAUGAGCCUAAGUCGGAUUGGCUAGUUGGUGGGGUAAAGGCCUACCAAGGCGACGAUCUGUAGUGGGUCUGGGAGGAUGAUCCGCCACACUGGGACUGAGACACGGCCCAGACUCCUACGGGAGGCAGCAGUGGGGAAUAUUGGACAAUGGGGGGAACCCUGAUCCAGCCAUGCCGCGUGUGUGAAGAAGGCCUUUUGGUUGUAAAGCACUUUAAGCGAGGAGGAGGCUUACCUGGUUAAUACCCGGGAUAAGUGGACGUUACUCGCAGAAUAAGCACCGGCUAACUCUGUGCCAGCAGCCGCAGUAAAAC